rnacentral:rRNA from 1 species
AUUGAACGCUGGCGGCAGGCCUAACACAUGCAAGUCGAACGAGUGGCGGACGGGUGAGUUAUGUCUGGGAAACUGCCUGAUGGAGGGGGAUAACUACUGGAAACGGUAGCUAAUACCGCAUACCAUCGGAUGUGCCCAGAUGGGAUUAUCGUGUUGGGGGGGUAACGCCUCACCAAGCGGACGAUCCCUAGCUGGUCUGAGAGGAGGAGCAGCCACACUGGAACUGGGACACGGUCCAGACCCCUACGGGAGGCAGCAGUGGGGAAUAUUGAACAAUGGGCGCAAGCCCGAUGCAGCCAUGCCGCGUGUAUGAAGAAGGCCUUCGGAUUGUAAAGUACUUUCAGCGGGGAGGCGUUACCCACAGAAUAAGCACCGGCUAACUCCGUGCCAGCAGCCGCGGUAAUA